rnacentral:tRNA from 1 species
GGAUAGAUGGCUGAGUGGUUUAAAGCACCAGUCUUGAAAACUGGCGUGUAGACAUACAUCGUGGGUUCGAAUCCCACUCUAUCCU